AUUGAACGCUGGCGGCAGGCCUAACACAUGCAAGUCGAGCGAGCGGAGGACGGGUGAGUAAUGUAUGGGGACUGCCCGAUCGAGGGGGAUAACUACUGGAAACGGUGGCUAAUACCGCAUAAUAUCGGAUAACCCAGAUGGGAUUCGCUAGUAGGGGGGGUAAAGGCUCACCUAGGCGACGAUCUCCAGCUGGUCUGAGAGGAUGAUCAUCCACACUGGGACUGAGACACGGCCCAGAGUCCUACGGAGGCAGCAGUGGGGAAUAUUGCGCAAUGGGCGCAAGCCUGAUGCAGCCAUGCCGCGUGGAUGAAGAAGGCCUUAGGGUUGUAAAGUACUUUCAGCGGGGAGGCGUUACCCGAAGAAGAAGCACCGGCUAACUCCGUGCCAGCCGCCGCGGUAAUUC
rnacentral:rRNA from 1 species